GGGUCAGUAGGUUGGUCGUGCCACCGGUACGUACUGGUCUCACUGAUUCCUCCUUCCUGAAGAACCGUAAUGCCAUUAAUUUGGUGUUGCGGGGAAACAGGACGGUUACUUUGAAAAAAUUAGAGUGUUUAAAGCAAGCUAACGCUUGAAUACAUUAGCAUAGAAUAAUGAAAUAGGACGAUCGAUCCUAUUUUGUUGGUUUCUAGGAUUGACGUA
rnacentral:rRNA from 1 species